CACGCCGUAAACGAUGUCAACUAGUUGUUGGGCUCCUUGAGGGCUUAGUAACGCAGCUAACGCAUUAAGUUGACCGCCUGGGGAGUACGGCCGCAAGGUUAAAACUCAAAUGAAUUGACGGGGGCCCGCACAAGCGGUGGAGCAUGUGGUUUAAUUCGAAGCAACGCGAAGAACCUUACCUGGCCUUGACAUGCAGAGAACCUUCCAGAGAUGGGAGGGUGCCUUCGGGAACUCUGACACAGGUGC
rnacentral:rRNA from 1 species